CUAACUUGAGUUUGGAAAUGCUCUCUGCUUCUAAGGGCUCCUGGGCCCAGCUGAGUCACCCAGGGGAUGAGCCGUCCGGCACAUCUCAAGAUCCUUAACUUAGUCCCACCUACAAAGUCCCUUUGGCCAUAUCAGCUCCCAUACGUGCGGGUCCCGAGGAGUAGGGUGUGGACAUCUUUGGGGGCUCUCCCUCUGCCCGCCACACCCCUUCCUGCUUCCCAGGCCUCCUGUGGGUUUAGUGGCACUUUCUCUCUUCUGUCCGAGCUCGAGGUGGUCACCUGCUGGCUAUCUCAUUCUCCUGUUAUUCUGGCCACACCAUGGCCAAAUCUUGGGUAGGAUCCCUUAUCCUGACUCCUCUCCCCCAGCAACAGAGCCUUGUCACUUCUCCCAGCGAUAGCUUCUGCUCCAUCAACUGGAGCCGUGGCCCUUGGAACGUGAGAAGUUCUCUUUUGUGAUUCCCAGCCUGGCCCCACAGUGAAGGGAGAGUGGCUUGGAAGUGGCACCUCUCUGAGGAACGCCAACCAAGAUGAGCAUGCCACGCACCAUUUGUGCUCAGAGGGAACCCUCUCAGUUGGGUUCGGUUACUAGGAUCCUCACAUCCUGCUCCCUGUGCCCACUUCCUCUCUCUGGGUCUGCAGCCCACUCCAGGGGACCCAGGCUGGCUCACACAGGUCUCCGGCCCACUCCAGGAGACCCAGGCUGGCUCACACAGGUCUCUGGCCCGCUCCAGGGGGCCCAGGCUGGCUCACACAGGGAGAACUUUCUUCACCUUUUCCUUGUCUGAGGUUCACCCCAGGCACGGAGGCCAAGAAAUAGAACCAACGAGUGACCACGUUUUCCCUGCUCAGAUUUGACCAAACUCAGCUAGAGAGGCCUCAGGGCAGAGCAGCUGAGGCCCUCCAGCACGCAGGUUCCAGAUCAUCCUUUCACCCACCAAUUCUCCUCCUUGCCGGCUUCAUUCAUGGUCUGCUGCUCAAAUCCUUCCCAAACUCCUCCUGGGCCAUCGGUCACUCGCCAGGUGUUGCCCUGCUUCUAAUCGUUGCAUGAUUCCUUCGAUGGAAG
rnacentral:lncRNA from 1 species